UGGGGAAUCUUAGACAAUGGGGGCAACCCUGAUCUAGCCAUGUCGCGUGAGUGAUGAAGGCCUUAGGGUUGUAAAGCUCUUUCAGCUGGGAAGAUAAUGACGGUACCAGCAGAAGAAGCCCCGGCUAACUCCGUGCCAGCAGCCGCGGUAAUACGGAGGGGGCUAGCGUUGUUCGGAAUUACUGGGCGUAAAGCGCACGUAGGCGGACUGGAAAGUUGGGGGUGAAAUCCCGGGGCUCAACCUCGGAACUGCCUUCAAAACUAUCAGUCUGGAGUUCGAGAGAGGUGAGUGGAAUUCCGAGUGUAGAGGUGAAAUUCGUAGAUAUUCGGAGGAACACCAGUGGCGAAGGCGGCUCACUGGCUCGAUACUGACGCUGAGGUGCGAAAGCGUGGGGAGCAAACA
rnacentral:rRNA from 1 species